rnacentral:lncRNA from 1 species
UGGGUUGAGAUUUGGGCUUGGGCCGGUGUUGGGUUUGUAUUUCAGGUUAAUUUGGGGCUUAAUGGGUUUGUUGUAUUUUGGGUUUGGGUAAAUUAAUCGGAUCUGCUAUUGUAACAAAACUGGACAUUUAUUUAUUUUUUAUUUUAUUUUAUUAUUUUAUGCAUGUGGGUCGGGCAUUAAUUGGGUAUUACAGCUGCCCCUCUUUACUCGUUGUCGUGUAACCAGAACGGAGCAAAGACUCUAAAAAUGACCAAUUUUGCCCGGUCGUGCUUGGACUUUGGUGCUCCUGUUCUUCAAGUAGCUUCAUUCCACCUUACUGCUUCUUCAGAGGUAUAGGAGUUGCUUUGAUCCACUCCUCUGC